AGGAAAAGACUGUGACCAGCUUCACAAAAGGCAGCAAAGGACUAUCAGAGAAAGAGAACUCCGAGUGAGGGGUCUGGCCUAGGCCCGGGAUCGGACCAGGCUCCCUCAGGACCCCAUCCUUUCCUGCCCGGACCGUGAAUUCAUCUCCUUGAAGCCAUAACGUCCGAGCUGCUGGUGCGGGGCAGCCCUGGCCCUAGGCUUCCUACCCCUGGAAGCGAGAGGAUGAGAGGAGGCCGGCCCAGCUCCUUCUUUCAGGGUGGGGGGCAUUCAGCCUCCACUGUGUCUGUCUUUUCUUCCCUGGGGCUCCCCCUCGAGGCGAGGGGCCAUGCAUGUCUGGGGGACCCCUGCCCCCCAAAACCCUCUGUCUGUCUCUGUCUCUUUGCUGUUUGUCCAAGACUCAGUGUCCCGACCCUUGUUCUCGCCGUGAAUGUCAAUGGGCCAAUCCUCUCUGUCCUUUCAGACACACACACACCUGUGUCCACCCCUUCUGUUCGCCACACCCUGCGUCUGGCCGGUCCCCCCACUGCUGCUGCUAUCAACGCCAGAAUAAACACACUCCGUGGGUCUCACUCCAA
rnacentral:lncRNA from 1 species